rnacentral:misc_RNA from 1 species
AACUGAUACUACCUGCGGGAACCUGCGGAAGGAUCAUUAAUGAGAAACUGCCCCUCGCGGGUAGAUCUCCCACCCUUUGUAAACUUACCUUUGUUGCUUUGGCAGGCCCGUCUCCGGACCGCCGGCUUCGGCUGGCCAGUGCCUGCCAGAGGAUUCUAAAACUCUGUCUGUCAGUGUUGUCUGAGUCUAUAUACAAUCGUUAAAACUUUUAGCAACGGAUCUCUAGAUCGGAAGAGCACA